rnacentral:rRNA from 1 species
GACGAACGCUGGCGGCGUGCUUAACACAUGCAAGUCGAACGCUGAAGCUCAGCUUUUGUUGGGUGGAUGAGUGGCGAACGGGUGAGUAACACGUGAGUAACCUGCCUCCUUCUUUGGGAUAACGCCCGGAAACGGGUGCUAAUACUGGAUAUUCACUGGUCUUCGCAUGGGGGCUGGUGGAAAGGGUUUUUCUGGUGGGGGAUGGGCUCGCGGCCUAUCAGCUUGUUGGUGGGGUGAUGGCCUACCAAGGCUAUGACGGGUAGCCGGCCUGAGAGGGUGACCGGUCACAUUGGGACUGAGAUACGGCCCAGACUCCUACGGGAGGCAGCAGUGGGGAAUAUUGCACAAUGGGCGCAAGCCUGAUGCAGCGACGCCGCGUGAGGGAUGGAGGCCUUCGGGUUGUGAACCUCUUUCGCUCAUGGUCAAGCCGCAACAAUGGUUGUGGUGAGGGUAGUGGGUAAAGAAGCGCCGGCUAACUACGUG